GGGCAGGGCGUUUAGGGUUCCACUGUCCCAAGGGGCAGGUUCGGUCCGAGAAAUCCACCCGGCGGGCCAAAUCCCGUGGGGCACACGGCGGGCCAAAAUCCCGGGAGGC
rnacentral:sRNA from 1 species